UAGCCUAGUGGUUAAAGCUAUGGAUCGCCAAUCCGGAGGCUGUGGGUUCGAUUCCCGU
rnacentral:tRNA from 1 species